rnacentral:rRNA from 1 species
AGAGUUUGAUCCUGGCUCAGAUUGAACGCUGGCGGCAUGCCUUACACAUGCAAGUCGAACGGCAGCACGGGGCAACCUGGUGGCGAGUGGCGAACGGGUGAGUAAUGCAUCGGAACGUGCCAUUGAGUGGGGGAUAACGUAGCGAAAGUUGCGCUAAUACCGCAUAUUCUGUGAGCAGGAAAGCAGGGGACCGCAAGGCCUUGCGCUCUUUGAGCGGCCGAUGUCAGAUUAGCUAGUUGGUGAGGUAACGGCUUACCAAGGCGACGAUCUGUAGCGGGUCUGAGAGGAUGAUCCGCCACACUGGAACUGAGACACGGUCCAGACUCCUACGGGUGGCAGCAGUAGGGAAUAUUGCACAAUGGGCGAAAGCCUGAUGCAGCAACGCCGCGUGUGCGAUGAAGGCCUUCGGGUCGUAAAGCACUUUUCUGAGGGAUGAGCAAGGACAGUACCUCAGGAAUAAGUCUCGGCUAACUACGUG